AGCGUCCGGCACACGUAGGACUCGGGCGUCUCGGGUGCCUGGCACACCACGCAGCGCCGGCGCAGCCAGCGGCGCAGGAGCGGGCAGCCGCGGUGCAGGAUAUCCGCCAGCGGGUGGCGCUGUUGGGAGGUGAGAAAACUGAUGCUUGGAGAUAUGAUCACUGCCUAGGGUCACACAAUGAUAACAUGCAUGCAUAUGGAAUUUGCUGCAUGCCAGCACCAUGAGUCUGCUCCCCAUGCCGUCCUCACCACAUUGCUCAUUUCUGAGGCCUGGAUGGUGGGCUUGCAAGGGAAGAUGACGGUUUUUGCCUCAGCUUUGCGGAGUGGCAGCAGAGUCCGUUUGCCCUGGAAAACAAAUGUCCACACAGUCAGGAAGCCCAAGGGCCCUCUGCCCUUUCCCCUCUGCCUUCCUGGAGCAUGAACCCACACAGGGCACACAGCAGCAAGGCAUCCCCGGGCAGUGCCAUGCCCACUCACCAGCUUCUUCCUGCGGUCAUCGAUCUGGCAGAAGUCCUCCUCAUCUAUCCCCAAACAUAGGCUUCCUUGAGGCACAGUCAUUCAGCCAACCAGCCAGCAUUCAUUGAGCACCAUCUAUGUCCUAGGCACUGCUAGGCGAUGGUGAUAACAAGGAGAAGACUCUGUCCCUGCCUUCCAAUUGUGUAGAGGAAGACAUCCCCCUACACGAUGGGUGAAACAUAGCAGAAGUGAGUAGGGGAUGAGGCGGGGGCUCAGAGGAGGGCAUGGUCAGCCUGUCUGGGAGGGAGUUGCAUGUGUGCAUCUGAGGUAGGGACAGGCAUGCAUCUUGCAGGAUGAAUAUCGAGCAGAGUCACAGAGAGGGGGAAACUCUUUGAGGUUUCAGGAAUCACCUAAUCCACUGUGACUCACAAGUUCCUGCCUCUUGGCUUUGCCUGCAGCAUAUCUCCUGGAGGUGUGCUGGGGCAAAACUCAUCCCAGACCACCAUCUCCGUCCUCCCCAGUACACCCUGGCCCUCCCUGGCUACCCUUGAGCACGGUGCACGUGUGCAUGGGUGCAUGCCUGCAUAGAUAGCUAUCCCCCAUGUAUUUCCCAAAGUCCUACAUAAUGCUUCAGUUUGCUAAGGAAAAAAUGUUAAUUAUUGCAAAUGUGUUUAAAACUGUAAAAGUACAUUAAACAAACUCUGUAAAGUGUGAAA